GCACUAGUAGCUCAGUACCAGAGCAUUGGUCUUGUAAGCCAAAGGUCGGAGGUUACACUCCUCCCUACUGCU
rnacentral:tRNA from 1 species